rnacentral:rRNA from 1 species
AAUAGAUACCCUGGUAGUCCACGCCGUAAACGAUGAGUGCUAAGUGUUGGGGGGUUUCCGCCCCUCAGUGCUGCAGCUAACGCAUUAAGCACUCCGCCUGGGGAGUACGGUCGCAAGACUGAAACUCAAAGGAAUUGACGGGGGCCCGCACAAGCGGUGGAGCAUGUGGUUUAAUUCGAAGCAACGCGAAGAACCUUACCAGGCCUUGACAUCCCGGUGACCACUAUGGAGACAUAGUUUCCCCUUCGGGGGCAACGGUGACAGGUGGUGCAUGGUUGUCGUCAGCUCGUGUCGUGAGAUGUUGGGUUAAGUCCCGCAACGAGCGCAACCCUUAUUCUUAGUUGCCAUCAUUCAGUUGGGCACUCUAAGGAGACUGCCGGUGAUAAACCGGAGGAAGGUGGGGAUGACGUCAAAUCAUCAUGCCCCUUAUGACCUGGGCUACACACGUGCUACAAUGGACGGUACAAACGGUUGCCAACCCGCGAGGGGGAGCUAAUCCGAUAAAACCGUUCUCAGUUCGGAUUGUAGGCUGCAACUCGCCUAC